rnacentral:rRNA from 1 species
AACGAACGCUGGCGGCAUGCCUAACACAUGCAAGUCGAACGAGACCUUCGGGUCUAGUGGCGCACGGGUGCGUAACGCGUGGGAACCUGCCCUUAGGUUCGGAAUAACUCCCCGAAAGGGGUGCUAAUACCGGUUAAUGUCUUCGGACCAAAGAUUUCUCGCCUUUGGAUGGGCCCGCGUUGGAUUAGCUAGUUGGUAGGGUAAAAGCCUACCAAGGCGACGAUCCAUAGCUGGUCUGAGAGGAUGAUCAGCCACACUGGGACUGAGACACGGCCCAGACUCCUACGGGAGGCAGCAGUGGGGAAUAUUGGACGAUGGGCGAAAGCCUGAUCCAGCAAUGCCGCGUGAGUGAUGAAGGCCUUAGGGUUGUAAAGCUCUUUUACCCGGGAUGAUAAUGACAGUACCGGGAGAAUAAGCACCGGCUAACUCCGUG